AGUAGCUGUUCUCUCAGUCUGGGUCCUGGAGUGAGGAUGAAGAGAGCCCCAGAUGACCUGCAGAGGAAAUGUAUCGAGAAAAAAAAUGAACGUGUCAUCUCUCCUGAGGACACCAGGCACAGUAUGUAACCACAAUCCAGCUCUUCAGAGACAUUCCCAGCAGCCACAGCAGCCGCCUCAAGUUGACCAAAACCACUCCGCAGUCUCCGGUGUUCUCAGUCCCAGCAUUUUACCUGACUAUUGCUCCUCUUUGGGCCUAGGUGUCGAAAAAAUAGAACUUUAAAGGCUGCUUUUUGUGUCCUUAGAGGGGCAAGUUUUCUAGGGUAAAGAGGCAUGGGUGUUCUUUGAAGUUAGCUGCAGCACAACUGUCUGCAUUUGGGACUGGCAGCCUCACCUCCCGUUUCAGAUGAGGCCCUACCAGCAGCAGCCAAGAACGUGCGCUGAGAAGACUUUGUUCUCUGUCUCCACCAGGUCUCUCUAGCGUCCCCUUCCCUGGCCUGCUAUGGUCACUUGUGCAAAGCAGCUGGAGAGACUGUGCCUUGUGAAGCUCGUUCAUUGAUGUUCCGCAGGUUCUCUGUGUACAUCUGCAGUUGACUUUACCUCUUGUCUGAUGGCUGGGUUGUGGGCUAUGCAGGCAAACUCUCAGCAACUGGACUUUGAAAGCGAAGUGGACAAGCUGGCAUCACACUGCCACAUGAGACUGAACUAUAUAUUUGGAAUUGGGAGAAAGGUUGCCUGGUUCCUCAUCCCUUUAACCUCACUUACUUCUCUUGAAUGGCAGCUGGGUCUUGAUACCACAGAGGAUGACUGUUGCUGCAGAAGCUGCCACUCCCACCUUCCUUCCUCUCCCACCGUUCCCUGAAACAGAAGGGUAGGAGGGAAGAAAGCAGUUUGACACACCCUAAGCCCAGAGGGUGGUUUUCAAGGACUGGUACCUGGCUCCACAGCAACUAUAGCACCUGGGAACUUAUUAGAAAUGUGCAUUCAUGGACCCUGGCACCAAUUCCUAAACAGACUCUUGGGUUUUGGUCUGGCAGUCUCUGUGUUGAUGAGUCAUCCAGGUGAUUCUUAUACUGAAGUGUGACUGCUGCUGGCUUGUGGUCUGACCUCAGGAGGUGGCCAGUCAGGCUUGGCCCACAUUGGCUCUCAAACCACUGCAAUGAUCCAGAGGAGAGACAAAGUUGGCUUGGACGAGAUUUAACAAUGAAGGUGACAAGAAUGAAUGUGACUGGCUGUGUUUUGAAGAAAGUGUGGGAAUGGGAGUGGCACAUUAUGGUGUUCACCACCAAUAUUCAGGAAACCAGAGAAGGCUUGUCGUGAGUAAAGAAGAAAGGAAGAGAAGCCUGGGAGGAAACAUUCUGCACCACUGAGAAGUCUAAGGAAGGUUCAGCAAGGCCAUCAGGAUUUCUCCAGACAAAAUCUGCUAUCAGAUCAGUCCCCCAUCUCCCGAGAAGGGGUGUGCCUGUGUAUUCGUUUUGGCUCUGCUGUGGACUGGGAGAAGUCUGUGGGAAGAGUAGCCUGGGCACAAAUGCAAAGUUGGCUUUUAGAUCCCAAUCCUGGGUCUGCAGGAAGAGAACUCGUAAUGAUUCUCAUGGCUGCCUCACUGGAGGGUCCCUCUGCAUUCUCCAGGUGACCCACUUACACAUUAUUGCAGGGGUAUGGAGGCCCACCUGUUGCCUUAACUCUGGACAUUUUGGAGCAUCCCAAUGAGGCUUUGUCAAGACUUGACCACAGCUCAGCCUCUUAUUCUGUUCAGUUCUUCUUCCCUCUCUUCACUGCUCGUGUGACUGAACUUGGGAGCACUCCCUGAUCAAACUCUUGUGCACCCACUUACAAGUGCUGCUCCCAGCUCUCACUACCUCCUAACAGAUGGAAUCCUCACAAGGCUAUGAGCUCUUAAGAUGUGACUUAUCCAGAAAUCUUCUGAAAUCUGCAAGGUUGCAGCAGACAUCUCUCCAGGGAGACUGAAGGAAUUAUCAAGAUUAUGGCUGCAAUUUAAAGAAAAUCUUUGCACUCUGAUGAGACUCUCAUGCCAAUCAUAGGAUGACCAACUGACCUGGUUUUCCCAGGGUGGAAAGCUUUGCCUGGACACGAGACUUUCUUUGCUGAAACUGGGAGAAUUCUAGGCAAACUGGAACAGUUGGACACCCUAGAAUGGACCCUUUAUGACUCAGCCAUGUUACAUACAGGAAACAUCUGCCUCUCUAUUGUAGAUACUUUCUAUUAUUUCAAAAAGUAUUCAUAUGUUAUGAUUAAUGAGAAAAUCGCCUAUAGAAACUAUGGAAAGGGAUGAAGAAGAAACUAAAAGCUACAUAUGAGCUCAUAAUAUAGUGGCUACUAUUUAAACUUUUCAACAACUUCUGUGAAUUUUUUUCUGUGUGGGUAUAUACAUAUAUUUUAUAGAUCAAAAACUGCAUUACAAACAGUUCCGUAUCCUGAUUUUUACCUAGCAUGUCUACAUUUUCCCAUGUCAAUGAAUAGCUUUUGAAAAAUCACUGCUAUGGUUGCAUAAUUUCCAUUGAGGAUGUACUUUAUUUAACUAUUCUCCUAUUGUUCAGCAUUUAAUUUUUGCUAUUAAAGAUAAUGCAGUUGUCAAUA